rnacentral:rRNA from 1 species
AUUGAACGCUGGCGGCAUGCUUUACACAUGCAAGUCGAACGGUAACAGGCCGCAAGGUGCUGACGAGUGGCGCACGGGUGAGUAAUGCAUCGGAACGUGCCCAGUCGUGGGGGAUAACUACUCGAAAGAGUAGCUAAUACCGCAUACGAUCUAUGGAUGAAAGCGGGGGACCGUAAGGCCUCGCGCGAUUGGAGCGGCCGAUGUCGGAUUAGGUAGUUGGUGGGGUAAAGGCUCACCAAGCCAACGAUCUGUAGCUGGUCUGAGAGGACGACCAGCCACACUGGGACUGAGACACGCCCCAGACUCCUACGGGAGGCAGCAGUGGGGAAUGUUGGACAAUGGGCGCAAGCCUGAUCCAGCAAUGCCGCGUGCAGGAAGAAGGCCUUCGGGUUGUAAACUGCUUUUGUACGGAACGAAACGGCUCUGGUUAAUACCCGGGGCUAAUGACGGUACCGUAAGAAUAAGCACCGGCUAACUACGUG